UACGGAGGGGGCUAGCGUUGUUCGGAAAUACUGGGCGUAAAGCGCACGUAGGCGGUGGAGUAAGUCAGAGGUGAAAUCCCAGGGCUCAACCCUGGAAUGCCGGUGGAUACUGUCGGGCUCGAAUCCGGAAGAGGUGAGUGGAAUUCCAGGUGUAGCGGUGAAAUGCGUAGAUAUCUGGAGGAAUACCGGUGGCGAAGGCGGCAUCCUGGACCGGCAUUGACGCUGAGGAGCGAAAGCUAGGGGAGCAAACGGGG
rnacentral:rRNA from 1 species